AAAUGUAGUUGACUAUAAGUAUACAUGCAGUGUGGAGAGUAUACUAAGUACACUACGUUUUC
rnacentral:pre_miRNA from 1 species